rnacentral:snRNA from 8 species
AUCGCUUCUCGGCCUUUUGGCUCAGAUCAAGUGUAGUAUCUGUUCUUAUCAGUUUAAUAUCUGAUACGUCCCCCAUCGGGGGACUACAUAUUAAAUGGAUUUUUCGAACAGGGAGUCUGAAAUGGGGCUU